GAGCAGGAGGUUGGAGUGGGGACUGCUGUGAAGCCUCUUCCAGGUUGAAUUUUCUGUGAGUCCGCAGACAAGAAAAUAUUAAAUUCAAAGGUCCCUUUAACAUUUGCAUCAACAAGGACAAUCAUCAGGAAAUGCCAAACGAACUCCACUGGAUUUUUCCUCUAAAGAAGCGAACAGAAUUAUUCUAACAGCGUCGAGUCGAAACACCCACUUUUUGGUUUUCAUUCUACUCAUCUGUAGAGAAAUUACACUCUGGCCAAUGAGUGGUAUUGAGAAAUUAAUUUUGUUUAAAUUCAACAAAGGCCCCGGCGUCCCCUGUGACAAAGUGUUUUGAAGGUAUAAAGCAUUCUUUCUGCCAUGAGGAUAACGAAUUUGCAAAUAUUUGUAAAUAAAUGAAUGAAAAUGCAAACUCC